rnacentral:rRNA from 1 species
AACGAACGCUGGCGGCAUGCCUAACACAUGCAAGUCGAACGAGACCUUCGGGUCUAGUGGCGCACGGGUGCGUAACGCGUGGGAACCUGCCUUUAGGUUCGGAAUAACUCAGAGAAAUUUGAGCUAAUACCGGAUGAUGUCUUCGGACCAAAGAUUUAUCGCCUUUAGAUGGGCCCGCGUUGGAUUAGCUAGUUGGUGGGGUAAAGGCCUACCAAGGCGACGAUCCAUAGCUGGUCUGAGAGGAUGAUCAGCCACACUGGGACUGAGACACGGCCCAGACUCCUACGGGAGGCAGCAGUGGGGAAUAUUGGACAAUGGGCGAAAGCCUGAUCCAGCAAUGCCGCGUGAGUGAUGAAGGCCUUAGGGUUGUAAAGCUCUUUUACCAGGGAUGAUAAUGACAGUACCUGGAGAAUAAGCUCCGGCUAACUUCGUGCCAGCCGCCGCGGUAACAC